rnacentral:tRNA from 1 species
GGGUCUGUAGCUCAGAGGUUAGAGCAGGGGACUCAUAAUCCCUUGGUCGCGGGUUCGAACCCCACCGGACCCACCA